GGCCAAUUAGCUCAGCCGGUUAGAGCGACGGAAUCAUAAUCCGCAGGUCCCCUGUUCGAAUCAGGGAUUGGCCA
rnacentral:tRNA from 1 species